rnacentral:misc_RNA from 1 species
UUGUUUUUAUUAUGAGAUGUAUCAGACAAUACUAGCUUUCACAAAGGUUUUUAUUAUAAUUAAGGCUAUCCACUGACAGUUCCUCAACCACUAGGAUUAAAUGGUUGAAGGACACAAAUACUAUUGAAUAUUGAUAGAUAUUCAAACAUAUACAUGCCAGCCUAGUGGAAGCAACAUGGAGUGAAUACACAAGGGAAAUUGGUAAAAUAUCUCUAAAAGAAAAAGAAGAGAUCUGUUUUCUUUUUUGAUAAUGAUCCUUCCGCAGGUUCACCUACGGAAA